rnacentral:rRNA from 1 species
GACGAACGCUGGCGGCGUGCUUAACACAUGCAAGUCGAACGAAGAGCGAUGGAAGCUUGCUUCUAUCAAUCUUAGUGGCGAACGGGUGAGUAACGCGUAAUCAACCUGCCCUUCAGAGGGGGACAACAGUUGGAAACGACUGCUAAUACCGCAUACGAUCCAAUCUCGGCAUCGGGACUGGAUGAAAGGUGGCCUCUAUUUAUAAGCUAUCACUGAAGGAGGGGAUUGCGUCUGAUUAGCUAGUUGGAGGGGUAACGGCCCACCAAGGCGAUGAUCAGUAGCCGGUCUGAGAGGAUGAGCGGCCACAUUGGGACUGAGACACGGCCCAGACUCCUACGGGAGGCAGCAGUGGGGAAUCUUCCGCAAUGGACGAAAGUCUGACGGGGCAACGCCGCGUGAGUGAUGACGGCCUUCGGGUUGUAAAGCUCUGUUAAUCGGGACGAAUGGUUCUUGUGCGAAUAGUGCGAGGAUUUGACGGUACCGGAAUAGAAAGCCACGGCUAACUACGUG